rnacentral:rRNA from 1 species
UUAAAAAGCUCGUAGUUGGAUUUCUGUUGAGGUCGGGCGGUGUACACCUCGUGUAUUAUUUGCUUCGGUCUCGGCAUCCUCUUGGGGAACGUUCAGGACUUUAUUGGACUGGGCGAGAUUCAAGACUUUUACUUUGAGGAAAUUAGAGUGUUCACGGCAGGCAAGUGCUUUGAAUACAUUAGCAUGGAAUAAUAAUAUAGGACCUUCGUUCUAUUUUGUUGGUUUCUAGAACUUAGGUAAUGAUUAAUAGGGACAAUUGGGGGCAUUCGUAUUAACGCGUCAGAGGUGGAAUUCUUGGAUUGCGUUACGACGAACUACUGCGAAAGCAUUUGCCAAAGAUGUUUUCAUUGAUCAAGAACGAAAGUAUGGGGAUCGAAGACGCUUAGAUACCGUCGUAGUCUAUACCAUAAACUAUGCCAACUAGAGAUCGGAGGGGUUAUCCUAUGUGGCUCCUUCGGCAUCUUAUGAGAAAUCAAAGUUUUUGGGUUCCGGGGGGAGUAUGGUCGCAAGGCUGAAACUUAAAGGAAUUGACGGAAGGGCACCACCAGGAGUGGAGCCUGCGGCUUAAUUUGACUCAACACGGGAAAACUCACCAGGUCCAGACAUAGUAAGGAUUGACAGAUUGAUAGCUCU